rnacentral:pre_miRNA from 1 species
AUAUUCGAAUUGGGUCGGACUCCUGCCAGUUUUUACCGCAGUGGUACUCCAAGUAUUGGCUAUCACCGGGUGAAAACUGGUAGAAGUCCGAUCCUUUUCC